rnacentral:lncRNA from 1 species
UUUUUUCUGUUAUAUUUUAUUUAUUUAUUUAUUUAUUAUUUUAUUUUUUUUAAACACGUGGGCUUCGCCUAGCGAGCAUGCCAGUUCAUGAACAAACUUUUGCUCCUUCACGAUUAACGUUUUGACUGACGAAUAGACCCCAUUUGAACCUGUUGGAAGUAUCUCAAGCCAUUCCCUUGUGUUGACUGAUCAUCUAAAUAGAACACACAAAGUGUCUUGGAUGAUACUCAAGCUUCAAAC